AGUGGCGAACGGGUGAGUAACGCGUAAGCAAUCUACCUUCAAGAUGGGGACAACACUUCGAAAGGGGUGCUAAUACCGAAUGAAUGUAAGAGUAUCGCAUGAGACACUUACUAAAGGAGGCCUCUGACAUAAGCUUCCGCUUGAAGAUGAGCUUGCGUCUGAUUAGCUAGUUGGUGAGGGUAAAGGCCCACCAAGGCGACGAUCAGUAGCCGGUCUGAGAGGAUGAACGGCCACAUUGGGACUGAGACACGGCCCAGACUCCUACGGGAGGCAGCAGUGGGGAAUCUUCCGCAAUGGGCGAAAGCCUGACGGAGCAACGCCGCGUGAACGAUGAAGGUCUUAGGAUCGUAAAGUUCUGUUGUUAGGG
rnacentral:rRNA from 1 species